UACGGAGGGAGCUAGCGUUGUUCGGAAAUACUGGGCGUAAAGCGCACGUAGGCGGCGCAGCAAGUCAGGGGUGAAAUCCCGGGGCUCAACCCCGGAACUGCCUCUGAAACUGCAGUGCUAGAAUCUUGGAGAGGCGAGUGGAAUUCCGAGUGUAGAGGUGAACUUCGUAGAUAUUCGGAAGAACACCAGUGGCGAAGGCGACUCGCUGGACAAGUAUUGACGCUGAGGUGCGAAAGCGUGGGGAGCAAACAGG
rnacentral:rRNA from 1 species